rnacentral:tRNA from 1 species
GCUCAGUUGGUUAAGCAUCUGACUCUUGAUUUCAGCUCAGGUCAUGAUCUCACGGCUUGUGGGUUCGAGCCCUACACAGAGCU